rnacentral:rRNA from 1 species
UACGAAGGGGGCUAACGUUGCUCGGAAUUACUGGGCGUAAAGCGCACGUAGGCGGUCUUUUAAGUCGGGGGUGAAAUCCUGGAGCUCAACUCCAGAACUGCCUUCGAUACUGGAAGACUUGAGUCCGGGAGAGGUGAGUGGAACUGCGAGUGUAGAGGUGAAAUUCGUAGAUAUUCGGAAGAACACCAGUGGCGAAGGCGGCUCACUGGACCGUUGUUGACGCUGAGGUGCGAAAGCGUGGGGAGCAAACAGG